rnacentral:miRNA from 12 species
AGGAUAUGACAUUUGCAAAUUU